rnacentral:rRNA from 1 species
GAACUUUCCAGAGAUGGAUUGGUGCCUUCGGGAACUGUGAGACAGGUGCUGCAUGGCUGUCGUCAGCUCGUGUUGUGAAAUGUUGGGUUAAGUCCCGCAACGAGCGCAACCCUUAUCCUUUGUUGCCAGCGGUCCGGCCGGGAACUCAAAGGAGACUGCCAGUGAUAAACUGGAGGAAGGUGGGGAUGACGUCAAGUCAUCAUGGCCCUUACGACCAGGGCUACACACGUGCUACAAUGGCGCAUACAAAGAGAAGCGACCUCGCGAGAGCAAGCGGACCUCAUAAAGUGCGUCGUAGUCCGGAUUGGAGUCUGCAACUCGACUCCAUGAAGUCGGAAUCGCUAGUAAUCGUGGAUCAGAAUGCCACGGUGAAUACGUUCCCGGGCCUUGUACACACCGCCCGUCACACCAUGGGAGUGAGUUGCAAAAGAAGUAGGUAGCUUAACCUUCGGGAGGGCGCUUACCACUUUGUGAUUCAUGACUGGGGUGAAGUCGUAACAAGGUAACCGUAGGGGAACCUGCGGUUGGA